rnacentral:misc_RNA from 1 species
GAUGAAGAACGUAGCGAAAUGCGAUAAGUAAUGUGAAUUGCAGAAUUCAGUGAAUCAUCGAAUCUUUGAACGCACCUUGCGCCCUUUGGCUAUUCUGAAGGGCAUGCCUGUUUGAGUAUCAUGAACACCUCAACGCUCAUGGUUUGCCAUGAUGAGCUUGGACUUUGGGGGUCUUGCUGGCCUACGGUCGGCUCCUCUCAAAUGAAUCAGCUUGCCAGUGUUUGGUGGCAUCACGGGUGUGAUAACUAUCUACGCUUGUGGUUUCCCACCAGGUAACCUUCAGUGAUGGAGGUUCGCUGGGGCUCAUAAAUGUCCCUCCACAGUGAGGACAGCUUUUGAACGUUUGAUCUCAAAUCAGGUAGGACUACCCGCUGAACUUAAGCAUAUCAAUAAGCGGAGGA